ACCCCGUCGUGCGGGGGGCACAUGUGUUUGUGGUUAUGCACACUUAGGGGUCUUUAUAAGGCUAGUAAGUUGUUCAUUGUUUUAUGUUCACCAUUCGAUUGUGUUGCUGUGUAUCUAUCCUGAUGACGGUGGUCUACACCGAAACGUUGAUGAUAGUUACAGGAUAAUCAAAUCAAUCAGUGCUGUGUGAAUGGAGGUCUUUGUAGUGAGAAAGCAUUCAGGCCCGACAACUCUGAGCUUCCCCCAGGUCUGCAAUUCACUGUGACUGUGUUUGAAGCACCCUUAUGUUUUCGGCGGAUUACCUUGCGUAAAAGCCAAGAGCUACAAGCCUCCGUCCAGUCCAUCUGGAACAGAUACUGAAUUCUAGGCAUCAACAAAGAAAGCGGAAUCGGUGUUGUGUCAACCCAUCUAGAGAGGAUAGUCUUUUUAGAUGCAGCCACCAAUUUAUUAAGCAAUAGGCGAGCCCCUUAAGACAGAGCCAUACCACCCUUCCCUUGUGUAAAUAUUCCAGAAAGUCCAAUCUUUAAUUAUCUGAAAUGUAAUGUGAAGUGUUGUGUUAAUGUAACCCUGCAAGUCAGCCCAGAAUUGUGCAACUAUCUGGCAAUCCCACAAACAAUGGGGGUCAUUCCGAGUUGAUCGCUCGCUAGCAAUUUUUAGCAGCCGUGCAAAAUGCAUGGUCGCUGCCCACUGGGAGUGUAUUUUAGCUUAGCAGAAGUGCGAACGGUUGUAUCGCCGAGCGCCUGCAAAAAUACUUUGUGUAGUUUCAGAGUAGCUCAAAACCUACUCGGCGCUUGCGAUCACUUCAGACUAUUCAGUUCCGGAUUUGACGUCACACACCCGCCCAGCGUUUGCCCAGCCAUGCCUGCGUUUUCCUUGGGACGCAUGUGUUUUUCCAAACACUCCCUGAAAACGGUCAGUUGCCACCCAGAAAUGCCCACUUCAUGUCAAUCACUCUGCGGCAACCAGUGCGACUGAAAUGCUUUGCUAGACCCUGUGCAAAACUACAUCGUUCGUUGUGCCCGUACGUCGCACGUGUGCAUUGCGCCGCAUACGCAGAACUGCCAGUUUUUAGCCUAAUCACCGUGCUGCGAACAAAUGAAGCUAGCGAUCAACUCGGAAUGACUACCAAUGUACGAUGUCUGCAUUCGGAGAACCACACUAAAAGCAAUUAGAGUCUAUGGAACAUCCCGUUAGGAAAUGUAAUUUAGGUGUAUAAUACGCCCUAUGGAGAAUCUUUUGGUGGAUUUCUGUGUAUGUGAUCGCCACCAGUUGUUUGUUCAUCUGUACAUAGGAUGAGAGAAUCGUUUUCAUGGAGAGAUUAGGAAAGUCUAACUGCCAUCUCAACAGCCCAACUGUGGUGGAGUCUAUGUUAAGUGUUUUAUUGAAGUUAGAAUAAAUGUGUGAAGUGGUAAAAAUCA